rnacentral:rRNA from 1 species
GUCCAGAUCCUACGGGAGGCAGCAGUGGGGGAUAUUGCACAAUGGGGGAAACCCUGAUGCAGCGACGCCGCGUGUGGGAAGACGGUCUUCUGGAUUGUAAGCCACUGUCCCCAGGGACGAAAAUGACGGUACCUGGGGAGGAAGCUCCGGCUAACUACGUGCCAGCAGCCGCGGUAAUACGUAGGGAGCAAGCGUUGUCCGGAAUUACUGGGUGUAAAGGGAGCGUAGGCGGGGAUGCAAGUUGGGUGUCAAAACUACCGGCUCAACCGAUAGUCGCACUCAAAACUGCAACUCUUGGGUGAAGUAGAGGCAGGCGGAAUUCCUAGUGUAGCGGUGAAAUGCGUAGAUAUUAGGAGGAACACCAGUGGCGAAGGCGGCCUGCUGGACUGCAACUGACGUUGAGGCUCGAAGGCGUGGGGAGCAAACAGGAUUAGAUACCCGAGUACU